rnacentral:rRNA from 1 species
UUUAUAAGAGUAAAAAUGAAUUUUAGUUUCAUAUUAAUUUUUUAUAAAUUUAUAAUAUAAUAUAAAUAAAUUAAUUUAAUGAAGAUGAUUAGAUAAUUUAUUAUAAAUAAAGUAAUAUAUAAUGAUAAAUUUGUUAAAGUAUUAAGUUAGAAAUAAUUUAUUUAAUUUAGAGAGUAAUGAAAAUGAAAAUUUGUUAAAAAGUUAAAAAAUAGAUUUUAUUUAUUGUACCUUUUGUAUCAGGGUUAAUUAAAUAAAAUAUUUGAAUUAAAUAUUUCUCGAAUUUAAAAGAUUUAAUUAAAUAUAUUAGUUAAUGUGGAAAUAUUAUUAAUAAUUUUUAAUUAGAAGUGAAAUAUUAAUCGGUUUUAAAGAUAUCUAGUUUUUUUAGAAAUGAAUAUAAUUCAGCAUUAUAAAUUAUAUUAAAUAUUUUUAGUAUAAUUAAUUAUAAAAAUUUAUAUAAAUUUAUAAGGUAAAUAUUUUUGGGAUAAACUAGAAAUAUAUAAAUAAUUUUUUAUAUUUAUUAAUUAUUAUAUUAAUAUUCAUAAAAUUUGAAUUUUUUAAAAAAAAUGUUAUAAUUUAUAAUUAAUUUCAUUUAAAUUUAUAAAAAAUUUUUAUUUAUAUAAAAAAAAUAUAUUUAAUAAUAAAAUUAUAUAUUAUAAUGAUUAAAUUAGUAAAUUAAGUUUUUAUAUAUGUAAAAUUAAUAAUUAGAAUAAGAAAUUAUUUUAAGGAAUUCGACAAUUUUUUUUAUAUAUGAAAUAUAUAUUCACCUGUUUAUCAAAAACAUGUCCUAUUAGAUAAUAAUAUUAGGUCUAUUCUGCCCAUUGAUGAAAUAUUAAAAGGCUGCAGUAUAUUGACUGUACAAAGGUAGCAUAAUCAAUAGUUUUUUAAUUGGAAACUGGAAUGAAGGAGUGGAUGAAAUAUAAAUUGUCUCAAGAUAAUAAAUUGAAUUUAAAUUAAAAGUAAAAAUGCUUUUAUGAGGUUAUUAGACGAGAAGACCCUAUAGAAUUUAAUAAAAUUUAUUUUUUAAAUUUUUUAUGUUAAAAUUGUUUAUAAAGUAAUUAUAUUUUAUUGGGAGGAUAUUUAAAUUUGAGUAACUUUAAUUAAAAUAAACAUUAAUUAAUGAAUUUGUUGAUUAUUAUUAUAAUUAUUAGAGUAAAUUACCUUAGGGAUAACAGCGUAAUAAUUUUGGAGAGUUCAUAUCGAUAAGAUUGUUUGCGACCUCGAUGUUGAAUUAUGAUAAAAAUUAGAUGGAGAUAUCUAAAAUUUUAGUCUGUUCGACUAUUAAAAUCAUACAUGAUUUGAGUUCAGAUCGGUGUAAGCCAGAUCGGUUUCUAUCUAUAAUAUAAUAAAAUAUUUUAUUGUACGAAAGGACUUAAAAUAUUAAAAAUUUUAUAUAAGUUAAUUUUUUAUUUAAAUUAUUUUAAAUAAAAAUUAAAUUGAAUUAAAUUAAAUUGAUUGUAAAUUAAU